rnacentral:tRNA from 1 species
GGAUGGAUUUCGAUUAUUGGUAAAUCGAGCUAAGCUGUAAACUUAGUGGUUUAACCUUUGUGAGUUCGAGUCUCACUCUAUUCA